rnacentral:rRNA from 1 species
GACCAGACUCCUACGGGAGGCAGCAGUGGGGGAUAUUGCACAAUGGGGGGAACCCUGAUGCAGCGACGCCGCGUGGGUGAAGGAGUAUUUCGGUAUGUAAAGCCCUAUCGGCAGGGAAGAAUUUAGACGGUACCUGACUAAGAAGCCCCGGCUAACUACGUGCCAGCAGCCGCGGUAAUACGUAUGGGGCAAGCGUUAUCCGGAUUUACUGGGUGUAAAGGGAGCGCAGGCGGCCUGGCAAGCCUGAUGUGAAAUACCGGGGCCCAACCCCGGGGCUGCAUUGGGAACUGCCAGGCUGGAGUGCCGGAGAGGCAGGCGGAAUUCCUAGUGUAGCGGUGAAAUGCGUAGAUAUUAGGAGGAACACCAGUGGCGAAGGCGGCUUACUGGACUGUAACUGACGUUGAGGCUCGAAAGCGUGGGGAGCAAACAGGAUUAGAUACCCUUGUAA